CGGCGCGGCAGAAGCCGCCGCUCCCUGCGCGUCCCGCGGCGGUGCGGACGCCUCCUCCGGGACGGGGCUGCCCGAUCGCUCUCCGGUCCCUGCGCUCCGGCGCUGCCGCUCCCGCGCCGACGAAAGGCGGGGGAUUUCCGUUCUCCCGGCCCCGGUGGGGGAACGCGACCUGUUCGCCGGCACGCGUGGAGCCGUCCCGGGGCAGGAGCUCGGAGUUCUUCCAAAGCUCCUCGACAUUUCAUGUUCAUUCAUGCACUGCCCCGUGCCCAGUUCAUUUAACCGGCCCCCAGAUUACCCUAUUACCGCUCUCAAACUGUUUACCCGUUCAUCCACGGCUGAAGCAGAGAAAAGGGCACCUCCUGACACCAUGGACAGCGCAAGGGACAGAAUUACCCAAAGAAUAAGACAGCAAGAUCCCUUUCCAAGGAGAUUGGCACAGGUUUAUACACCUGGUCACAGGCACCUGGCACCCCUCUAACACUGCUCCCACCACUGGACAGAAGAGGCAAAAAUGGGGCUGUGAAAGUGUUCUGAUGACAUCAGUAUGCUUCCCUGGCAACAAAUACUAUAUCCUACCUACUCGUUCAUCAGUACAAUUGGGUAAAAACAGAAAAUGUGGAAAGGAGUAUGGGUGAGUACUAAAAGCUACUCCUUGAAGAGCUCCAGUGAUUCCUCAAGCAAGGUUCAGUAUUACUUCCACAUUCCCCUUGACCUCUUCAGCAACACUGAAGUACAGAGAUCUCAAUUGCUGAAUAUCAGUGGUACAAGACAGGGAUACUUCCUGCUGAACCAUACGAUGAUACUCCAAACAAGUGUGAGGCUCCUAUCAAAAUCCAGCUGUGGCUAGUGACAAGUCCUAUGGGAUUCCUUCCUUCAUUCCAUCAACCACAUCAGCCCCCAAUUUAGAGUAGUAGUAUGCAUAGAGGCAUCCAAGAUAGACACAAUGCAUCACAUCCCAAAUAAGUGAAUGGCUUCGUCGAUCCUGAAUGUAC
ensembl:lncRNA